ACAACUUUCAACAACGGAUCUCUUGGCUCUCGCAUCGAUGAAGAACGCAGCGAAAUGCGAUACGUAAUGUGAAUUGCAGAAUUCAGUGAAUCAUCGAAUCUUUGAACGCACCUUGCGCCCCUUGGCAUUCCGAGGGGCACACCCGUUUG
rnacentral:rRNA from 1 species